rnacentral:piRNA from 1 species
UAAGGAUUAUCAAAUAAGAAU